GAAAAUAUUACUAUUUAAACAGUGCUGAACUACUAUCUACCUCUUUAAUGACGCUUGGACGAUCCUUGGUCGGACUUUACUGGCAUUACCUUGCACUAAACUUUAUUCACUUAUCAUGUACCUAUACACCGAAAAUGGAUCGAUUGUAAUCAUACAUUAUCUUUCUGCUGAUUGGUUAGCACGCAACAAAAGCUUUUCAC